rnacentral:lncRNA from 1 species
ACCUUCCUCACUCCUUGUGUGCGAUGCGAGCAUUGGCUAGAUUUCAUGCGAGUAGUUUGGCCAUAUGCGAAAAGGAACCCGAUCACAAAACGCUUUACACCAGAGGAUUAUACUACGAUAAACAAACUUCCGGAUUAAGAUGCUUCUUCAUUCUUGCAACAAAAUCGUUAGCCGAACAAGUAAAAAAAUGGCCUAAUUUUGAGAAAUAUGGAGAGAAAAUUGACAAAAUAUCGGAUAAAAUCUAUUAUGAG